rnacentral:rRNA from 1 species
UACGUAGGGUGCGAGCGUUAAUCGGAAUUAACGUGGGCGUAAAGCGUGCGCAGGCGGUUUUGUAAAGCCAGAUGUGAAAUCCCCGGGCUCAACCUGGGAAUGGCAUUUGGGACUGCAAGGCUGGAGUGCGGCAGAGGAGACUGGAAUUCCGUGGUGUAGCAGUGAAAUGCGCAGAUAUCAGGAGGAACACCAAUUGCGAAGGCAGCUCGCUGGGACGUUACUGACGCUGAGACGACGAAAGCGUGGGGAGCAAACAGG